UUUAUUCUGCAAAAUUUGAAAGAUUUCAACUGAGAACCAGACCUUCUUUCGUUUUGAUAUAAAGCUAUGAAUCUUUAAUUUUUCGGUAAUCUGACCUCUAUGCAAUGUUUCGAUCAUAACAUUUUUUAAUAAACUCUGAUUUAGACAAACCUAUUCCAUUUGAAAGUAGACAAGAAAAUAUUUAUUUUGAUAUAAAGAUCGAAUGAUUUGGAGUUUAAAUGCCUACUAAGACUUCUGUCUAAAUUAACCCUACAGAUUCUGCAAAACAGGGACUGAAAUUUCUGACCUCUUGUUGCUUAACUACUUAUAACUUUCUGCUGUGAACUCAGAUUCAUACAAAGUAUGAUUUAUUCGAAGAUAGACUCAAAAUUCUUUCUGUAUAUACCUGAUUUGAAAUUUUUGGAUUAGAAUUGCUAACUGAAACAUCUGCUUUCAUCGACCCUAUGGAUUCAGUAAAACAGAGCUAAUAUUUUCAGACCUUUCGCUACGAAAUUAUCUGUAACUCCCUGUUGUAAAUUCCAAAUCUUGGAAAACUUGAUUUGCCUAAAACUAGAUUGACAAAGCUUUCUAAUGACACCUAUUUUGUAUAAAUUGGAGCAUAAUUGGUUAUCUAAAUAGUUCAUACAAUGUUCCUAUCAAAUUCUGC
rnacentral:lncRNA from 1 species